rnacentral:rRNA from 1 species
AGAGUUUGAUCCUGGCUCAGAACGAACGCUGGCGGCAGGCCUAACACAUGCAAGUCGAACGAAGCCUUCGGGCUUAGUGGCGGACGGGUUAGUAACGCGUGGGAACGUGCCCUUCACUACGGAAUAGUCCCGGGAAACUGGGUUUAAUGCCGUAUACGCCCUUCGGGGGAAAGAAUUUCGGUGAGGGAUCGGCCCGCGUUAGAUUAGAUAGUUGGUGGGGUAAUGGCCUACCAAGUCUACGAUCUAUAGCUGGUUUUAGAGGAUGAUCAGCAACACUGGGACUGAGACACAGCCCAGACUCCUACGGGAGGCAGCAGUGGGGAAUCUUGGACAAUGGGCGCAAGCCUGAUCCAGCCAUGCCGCGUGAGUGAUGAAGGCCUUAGGGUCGUAAAGCUCUUUCGCCUGUGAAGAUAAUGACUGUAGCAGGUAAAGAAACCCCGGCUAACUCCGUGCCGGCAGCCGCGGUAAUACGGAGGGGGUUAGCGUUGUUCGGAAUUACUGGGCUUAAAGAGCGCGUACGCGGGACUAUUUGUCAGGGGUGAAAUCCCGGGGCUCAACCCCGGAACGGCCCUUGAUACUGGUAGUCUUGAGUUCGAGAGAGGUGAGUGGAAUUCCGAGUGUAGAGGUGAAAUUCGUAGAUAUUCGGAGGAACACCAGUGGCGAAGGCGGCUCACUGGCUCGAUACUGACGCUGAGGUGCGAAAGUGUGGGGAGCAAACAGGAUUAGAUACCCUGGUAGUCCACACCGUAAACGAUGAAUGCCAGUCGUCGGGUAGCAUGCUGCUCGGUGACACACCUAACGGAUUAAGCAUUCCGCCUGGGGAGUACGGUCGCAAGAUUAAAACUCAAAGGAAUUGACGGGGGCCCGCACAAGCGGUGGAGCAUGUGGUUUAAUUCGAAGCAACGCGCAGAACCUUACCAACCCUUGACAUCCUCGGACAACUCCAGAGAUGGAGCUUUCACUUCGGUGGCCGAGUGACAGGUGCUGCAUGGCUGUCGUCAGCUCGUGUCGUGAGAUGUUCGGUUAAGUCCGGCAACGAGCGCAACCCACACCCUUAGUUGCCAGCAGUUCGGCUGGGCACUCUAAGGGAACUGCCCGUGAUAAGCGGGAGGAAGGUGUGGAUGACGUCAAGUCCUCAUGGCCCUUACGGGUUGGGCUACACACGUGCUACAAUGGCAGUGACAAUGGGUUAAUCCCAAAAAACUGUCUCAGUUCGGAUUGUCGUCUGCAACUCGACGGCAUGAAGUCGGAAUCGCUAGUAAUCGCGUAACAGCAUGACGCGGUGAAUACGUUCCCGGGCCUUGUACACACCGCCCGUCACAUCAUGGGAGUUGGGUUUACCCGAAGACGGUGCGCCAACCUCGCAAGAGGGGGCAGCUGGCCACGGUAGGCUCAGCGACUGGGAUGAAGUCGUAACAAGGUAGCCGUA